UGUACAUUUCCAACAAACCAUCUUCUUCCCCACUCGCCCCAUCCAACCCGAGUGGCGCGCCUCCCCCGAGCGGCCCGCCUCCCACGACCAUCCGAGCACUCGACUUCCGCCCUCGCUCGUCGCCGGCGAUGGCAUCGUGUAGCUGUGGCACGGCUGCGCCAGGAGAUCUCCGUAGAAGGGUUAGCGCGCACGGGCGUGAUCCCCAAUAGCCAAGAACCAUGCUGCGGAGCAGUUCUUCCUGCCGCUCGUUGGCAGGGAUGCUAGAUACGGGGCGAGUAGAUACGGGGCGCCCUCGCGCAUGCCUCGAUGCUAGACCCGUCCAACACAUGCAUCCUCAAUUUCUAAUCGAUCCCAAGUCCUUCCCUCCUUUGAUUUGUGCAGUUUUCUCCAGGAAAAAGUAAUACCGAUUUGCCUCUACUAUUCUGUUUGGUCUUUUUGGUAGUUGAUUUAUAUGGAAGUCUUUCCUAAUUUACCGAAAUUAGCGCCUUCACUGAACCACCCCGCGUGAGAUGUGGACGUUCCAGGUGUUCUGAGGGAUUUGUAGAGGUGUUCCAGGCCCUUGGAGGUGCGCGGGAGACGGAGGCCAGCUCAGACCGAAGCUCGUCGCGCAGCAGCACCUCAACCGGCCCUUCGAGGUUUCACCUUGCUGCCGCUGCCAUCCAUCCAUCCAUUAACCGCACAAGCUAGACUGAAACUCGAGGAAGAAAAAUUCCGGCGGGGAACAUCUCGCGGCUCGAAGAGCUUUUGUGACUCUGCUGUCCGUAUAUCUUGUUUGACUGGAAUGGAGACAGAGGCGGCGAAUAUUCGAUCGAGCGGACGUUAUGGCGCCCGGACUCAAUCCCGCCCGGCCGAUACAGGAGGAGAUUCGCGCGCAGCGUUUUUGCCAAAAGACCCAUCUACCUUUUUUAAUUCGGAAGUAAUCCUAGGGAGAUGCCUGUAUAAAAGGCCCAAAUCGGGAUGAACCCUAAAAAUCUUCCUCCAAAUCUCCCCAGCCGCCGCUUUCUUGCUCCCCUCCGCCGCCGGCCGGACUGCUGCCCAUCCUCCUCGUGGCCGGCAAGGUCGCCGCCGCCGGCGACGGGGCUGAUUCUUCGUCGCCGCCGCCGGCGACGGGGCUGAUUCUUCGUCGCCGCCGCUCGGCGCCGGGCCGGCACGGCACCGCACGCCGCACGCCGUCGGCCGCCGUUGUUGCUGCUGCGGUUGCCGCCGUUGACGAGUCGCCUCCGCCGCCCCCGAGGGACAGGCCGAGCGUCUGGCCGGCGUCUUGGACCUCCUCCUGCGCCCCGAGAUCCGUUUUUACAUUUUCUUUCUCUUGUUAGGAUCUUGUUAGGAUCCGUUGAAUUGAUUGGAUCUAGUGGUUGUUAGGAUCUUGCUUUAACAAAUGGAUCCAACACUUGUUUGUCAUGGAUCCACCACUUGGUUUGUCAUGGAUAUUUCUUUCAUGGAUCUAGAUAUUCAUGCUAAAUCUGGUUUCUUAUGAAGAUCCAUGUACUCCGUAGAACUUUAUAGAGAUCUGUGGUCGAAAUAAAUGUAUCCAAUGGUUUCUUAUGAUUUUUCAUGAA